CCGCCAUUAGCUUAUCAGGAAAGAGCACCUGCCUUCGAAGCUGGUUGCGUGGGGGCGGGUCCUCGAUGGCGGUCCA
rnacentral:tRNA from 1 species